GUCGGGAAAGUCUGUGAGCAUCAGCAACUCCUCCAGGCUUGAGGCCGACCUCACGUCCCUCUCCCACUUUUCCAGGUUCCCUGUCUGUCAGGGGGGUUACAAAGCUCACAUUCUGAGGCUUGGACUACGGCUGUGGAUUCAGAAAAACGAGGAUAUUCAGUUGGACCAGGAAGGCCAAAGAGCGGCAUCUGCUGCUUAAUGAGAGGACGUGUAACAUGGAGGGGCCCUCUUUGCUCUCUAACUUCAAAGCCACGCAAUCAGCACGUGGCACCAUGGCAGCAUCGGUAACAGGAUCGCAGUGACCGACAGCGUGCUCUUGCACUCGAAAACAAAGAGCCUUUGACAGAACCGUGACUGCAGGGCACCCAGUGAGAGGCAUCACCUGCAGAUCCCCAGGGCCGAGUCUUCCACUGUGUCCAGAGCUGUCCUCAUGAGCAGAAACGCCCUGUAAGAGGUAGGUCACCUACACGAGGCCACCGUGGAGACCAUUAGAAGCACAGCCACAAAGGGGGAAACUGCUGUUACGGAAGGUCUUCACGUUUCCAUGGUGACCGUGUAAAACAUUUGCAUGUUCAUGUUGAUAACAGCCAGUUUUUAAACAUUUAACCAUUAUGUUUCAUAGAGUGAUCCCCACACAAAAAUUCCAGAAAACACCAUAGUUUAGUUUGUUAAAAUAUGCCGCAAAAAAACGAUGCGAACAGGCUGAAGGGUAUGUGCCAGGGUGACGACUUGACUGG